UUAAGCGACUAAGCGUACACGGUGGAUGCCCUGGCAGUCAGAGGCGAUGAAGGGCGUGCUAAUCUGCGAUAAGCGCCGGUAAGGUGAUAUGAACCGUUAUAACCGGCGAUACCCGAAUGGGGAAACCCAGUGUGAUUCGUCACACUAUCAUUAACUGAAUCCAUAGGUUAAUGAGGCGAACCGGGGGAACUGAAACAUCUAAGUACCCCGAGGAAAAGAAAUCAACCGAGAUUCCCCCAGUAGCGGCGAGCGAACGGGGAGGAGCCCAGAGCCUGAAUCAGCAUGUGUGUUAGUGGAAGCGUCUGGAAAGGCGCGCGAUACAGGGUGACAGCCCCGUACACAAAAGCGCAUGUGCUGUGAGCUCGAUGAGUAGGGCGGGACACGUGGUAUCCUGUCUGAAUAUGGGGGGACCAUCCUCCAAGGCUAAAUACUCCUGACUGACCGAUAGUGAACCAGUACCGUGAGGGAAAGGCGAAAAGAACCCCGGCGAGGGGAGUGAAAAAGAACCUGAAACCGUGUACGUACAAGCAGUGGGAGCCCCACCACUAAGCCAGUGGUGAACUCCACAUACGCAUCCUUUGCUGAAGGCAAUGGUUAACGGAGCGAAAGCGACGUUCAACCGCAAAACAAGCAGAGGGGGCUUAGUGGUGGGGUGACUGCGUACCUUUUGUAUAAUGGGUCAGCGACUUAUAUUCUGUAGCAAGGUUAACCGAAUAGGGGAGCCGUAGGGAAACCGAGUCUUAAUUGGGCGUUAAGUUGCAGGGUAUAGACCCGAAACCCGGUGAUCUAGCCAUGGGCAGGUUGAAGGUUGGGUAACACUAACUGGAGGACCGAACCGACUAAUGUUGAAAAAUUAGCGGAUGACCUGUGGCUGGGGGUGAAAGGCCAAUCAAACCGGGAGAUAGCUGGUUCUCCCCGAAAGCUAUUUAGGUAGCGCCUCGUGAAUUCAUCUCCGGGGGUAGAGCACUGUUUCGGCUAGGGGGCCAUCCCGGCUUACCAACCCGAUGCAAACUGCGAAUACCGGAGAAUGUUAUCACGGGAGACACACGGCGGGUGCUAACGUCCGUCGUGAAGAGGGAAACAACCCAGACCGCCAGCUAAGGUCCCAAAGUCAUGGUUAAGUGGGAAACGAUGUGGGAAGGCCCAGACAGCCAGGAUGUUGGCUUAGAAGCAGCCAUCAUUUAAAGAAAGCGUAAUAGCUCACUGGUCGAGUCGGCCUGCGCGGAAGAUGUAACGGGGCUAAACCAUGCACCGAAGCUGCGGCAGCGACGCUUAUGCGUUGUUGGGUAGGGGAGCGUUCUGUAAGCCUGUGAAGGUGGCCUGUGAGGGUUGCUGGAGGUAUCAGAAGUGCGAAUGCUGACAUAAGUAACGAUAAAGCGGGUGAAAAGCCCGCUCGCCGGAAGACCAAGGGUUCCUGUCCAACGUUAAUCGGGGCAGGGUGAGUCGACCCCUAAGGCGAGGCCGAAAGGCGUAGUCGAUGGGAAACGGGUUAAUAUUCCCGUACUUGGUGUUACUGCGAAGGGGGGACGGAGAAGGCUAUGUUGGCCGGGCGACGGUUGUCCCGGUUUAAGCGUGUAGGUGUGUGUUCCAGGUAAAUCCGGUUCACUUUAACACUGAGGCGUGAUGACGAGGCACUACGGUGCUGAAGCAACAAAUGCCCUGCUUCCAGGAAAAGCCUCUAAGCAUCAGGUAACAUCAAAUCGUACCCCAAACCGACACAGGUGGUCAGGUAGAGAAUACCAAGGCGCUUGAGAGAACUCGGGUGAAGGAACUAGGCAAAAUGGUGCCGUAACUUCGGGAGAAGGCACGCUGACACGUAGGUGAAGUGAUUUACUCACGGAGCUGAAGUCAGUCGAAGAUACCAGCUGGCUGCAACUGUUUAUUAAAAACACAGCACUGUGCAAACACGAAAGUGGACGUAUACGGUGUGACGCCUGCCCGGUGCCGGAAGGUUAAUUGAUGGGGUCAGCGCAAGCGAAGCUCCUGAUCGAAGCCCCGGUAAACGGCGGCCGUAACUAUAACGGUCCUAAGGUAGCGAAAUUCCUUGUCGGGUAAGUUCCGACCUGCACGAAUGGCGUAAUGAUGGCCAGGCUGUCUCCACCCGAGACUCAGUGAAAUUGAACUCGCUGUGAAGAUGCAGUGUACCCGCGGCAAGACGGAAAGACCCCGUGAACCUUUACUAUAGCUUGACACUGAACAUUGAGCCUUGAUGUGUAGGAUAGGUGGGAGGCUUUGAAGUGUGGACGCCAGUCUGCAUGGAGCCGACCUUGAAAUACCACCCUUUAAUGUUUGAUGUUCUAACGUGGACCCGUAAUCCGGGUUGCGGACAGUGUCUGGUGGGUAGUUUGACUGGGGCGGUCUCCUCCUAAAGAGUAACGGAGGAGCACGAAGGUUGGCUAAUCCUGGUCGGACAUCAGGAGGUUAGUGCAAUGGCAUAAGCCAGCUUGACUGCGAGCGUGACGGCGCGAGCAGGUGCGAAAGCAGGUCAUAGUGAUCCGGUGGUUCUGAAUGGAAGGGCCAUCGCUCAACGGAUAAAAGGUACUCCGGGGAUAACAGGCUGAUACCGCCCAAGAGUUCAUAUCGACGGCGGUGUUUGGCACCUCGAUGUCGGCUCAUCACAUCCUGGGGCUGAAGUAGGUCCCAAGGGUAUGGCUGUUCGCCAUUUAAAGUGGUACGCGAGCUGGGUUUAGAACGUCGUGAGACAGUUCGGUCCCUAUCUGCCGUGGGCGCUGGAGAACUGAGGGGGGCUGCUCCUAGUACGAGAGGACCGGAGUGGACGCAUCACUGGUGUUCGGGUUGUCAUGCCAAUGGCACUGCCCGGUAGCUAAAUGCGGAAGAGAUAAGUGCUGAAAGCAUCUAAGCACGAAACUUGCCCCGAGAUGAGUUCUCCCUGAGACUUUAGGUCUCCUGAAGGAACGUUGAAGACGACGACGUUGAUAGGCCGGGUGUGUAAGCGCAGCGAUGCGUUGAGCUAACCGGUACUAAUGAACCGUGAGGCUUAACCUU
rnacentral:rRNA from 1 species